CCUACGGGGGGCAGCAGUGGGGAAUAUUGGACAAUGGGCGAAAGCCUGAUCCAGCCAUGUCGCGUGUGUGAAGAAGGCCUUCGGGUUGUAAAGCACUUUCAGUGGGGAAGAAAGCCUUGGGGCUAAUACCCUCGAGGAAGGACAUCACCCACAGAAGAAGCACCGGCUAACUCCGUGCCAGCAGCCGCGGUAAUACGGAGGGUGCGAGCGUUAAUCGGAAUUACUGGGCGUAAAGCGCGCGUAGGCGGUCUGAUAAGCCGGUUGUGAAAGCCCCGGGCUCAACCUGGGAACGGCAUCCGGAACUGUCAGGCUAGAGUGCAGGAGAGGAAGGUAGAAUUCCCGGUGUAGCGGUGAAAUGCGUAGAGAUCGGGAGGAAUACCAGUGGCGAAGGCGGCCUUCUGGACUGACACUGACGCUGAGGUGCGAAAGCGUGGGUAGCAAACAGGAUUAGAUACCCGAGUAGUC
rnacentral:rRNA from 1 species